CAGUAGCCGCGGUAAUACGAAGGGUGCAAGCGUUACUCGGAAUUACUGGGCGUAAAGCGUGCGUAGGUGGUGGUUUAAGUCCGUUGUGAAAGCCCUGGGCUCAACCUGGGAAUUGCAGUGGAUACUGGGUCACUAGAGUGUGGUAGAGGAUAGUGGAAUUUCCGGUGUAGCAGUGAAAUGCGUAGAGAUCGGAAGGAACAUCUGUGGCGAAGGCGACUAUCUGGGCCAACACUGACACUGAGGCACGAGAGCGUGGGGAGCAAACAGGAUUAGAUACCCCUGUAGUCCCUGUCUCUUAUAC
rnacentral:rRNA from 1 species